rnacentral:rRNA from 1 species
GCUUAGACAUAAACCCAGACAGACAUCAACAACCCCCCUGUCCGCCAGAGCACUACAAGUAAAAACUUAAAACUCAAAGGACUUGACGGCACUCCACCACCCUAGAGGAGCCUGUCCUAUAAUCGAUGACCCACGCUAAACCUCACCUGCCCAUGCCCAACUCAGCCUAUAUACCGCCGUCCACAGCCCGCCUCACAAGAGAGCCAACAGCGAGCCAACCGGCUUUCCGCCGAUACGUCAGGUCAAGGUGUAGCUAAUGUGCAGGAAGAGAUGGGCUACAUUUUCUUACAAAGAACACACCGUCAGCGCCAUGAAACAGCGCCAGAAGGAGGAUUUAACAGUAAGCCGGACAAGACAUGCCCGACUGAACCCUGCCCUGGAGUGAGU